CCUACGGGUGGCAGCAGUGAGGAAUAUUGGUCAAUGGGCGAGAGCCUGAACCAGCCAAGUAGCGUGCAGGAAGACGGCCCUAUGGGUUGUAAACUGCUUUUAUGCGGGAAUAAAGUGGGGGAGCAUCCCUGUUUGCAUGUACCGCAUGAAUAAGGACCGGCUAAUUCCGUGCCAGCAGCCGCGGUAAUACGGAAGGUCCGGGCGUUAUCCGGAUUUAUUGGGUUUAAAGGGAGCGUAGGCCGGAGAUUAAGCGUGUUGUGAAAUGUAGAUGCUCAACAUCUGCACUGCAGCGCGAACUGGUUUCCUUGAGUACGCACAAAGUGGGCGGAAUUCGUGGUGUAGCGGUGAAAUGCUUAGAUAUCACGAAGAACUCCGAUUGCGAAGGCAGCUCGCUGGAGCGCUACUGACGCUGAAGCUCGAAAGUGCGGGUAUCGAACAGGAUUAGAUACCCUAGUAGUC
rnacentral:rRNA from 1 species